rnacentral:lncRNA from 1 species
UUACAGGUGUGAGCCAUCACGUCUGACCCUAACUGUAACUUUUGCAAAUUAAUAAAUCUCUCUGUAUCUCAAUGACCUCAUUGAUAAAAUGUCAACUCCUUGAUCUACUUUACAGGGUUGUCUUGAAGAUCUUAGAAGAUAACUUAAGUGAGGGGGGCUGGAGAAAAAAUUUAGACCCUAUGGAGGCAUAUAAGGAAUCUGCUCUUUUAGAACAUAUUUUUGAAAUUUGGUGAGAUUGGACUCUUACGAGGAGUGAUUGAGAAGCUGCACUCUCAGAGAGUGAAGAACUCAAUUCCAGGGAGCUUGACAUAGGUGGUGCAUGAAGUGUCUCAAGAGGAAGCAGAGAAUAAGAUCUCAGUUACACAGUCUGGGCAAGAAUACAAGAAAAUCACCCAAAAAACUGCGACCAUCAGAGGAGCCUCCAUGUUAGAGUCUCUGGGCCUCUGUCUCUUCAGAAUCCACCCUGGAAACAGUGUGCAUCAAAACACUUUGGAGUUCUUAGAGGCACUUGGAAUUAUCUGCUGGCUUCCCACCUUUAAAGAGACUGGGCUAGUUAAAUAUCCCCCUCUGUUCAUUUUUUUAAAUUUGAGUUUGUCAGUUCACAAUACCAGAAGAUCUGAAAGAAAAAUAAAAACAAAACCCAGAACCUCUUUGGGCUUCUCAGGCAAUAGAGAAAGACUUCCACGUACUCAGAAGACCAUCGUCAGUUAACAAAAGCCAGUCUUGUCAUCCUGUGUAGCUCUGCACUGCUUUAUCCAGGCGGUGGAAAAAGCUUUGAGUGUGAGUGGCCAGAAUCAAGUGGUGUUCUCUCACUUCAUCACGUUUGGCACAUUUUCUCUCUGGACAAAUCCAGUGGACAUUUUGCAGACCUGCUAAUCUCAGGAAGACUGAAGUUUUUAGAAGAUCGCUCUUCAUAUUUAGGGAGUCUUUCUCUGUAGCCCAGGCUGGAGUGCAGUGGC